AUUACAGGUCACAAAGUCGUUUAUUCAGAAGCUGCCAUCUGUCCAGAGAAGCAAACGCACCGUUUCAUUUAUUUCUCUUAUGAUGGGCUUUGACCCAUUUGUAGACAGAAAAUCUUACCUGAAAAAAACGACGCUUCCGUCUACACUUUUUGCCGUCAAAGUUCUUCAUCUGUUCAUCUACCUGCGAGAAAAAGUUGAGGCGUUACUUUUUGCCGAAACGGAAUAAAGCUGAACCCAAUCGUCGUCAUUAACACACACAUUAACCAAAGCUCUCCAUUCCUUCCACGAUUUAUCAAUGAAUACAUCUUCCAAUUAUAAAAAAUGUUCUAUAAAAAUUCUUCAGUUCAAGCUUCUAAUUAAUGGUCUCUGAUGUUCGACUUCAAACAAGGAUCCUACAAGAAUAUUUAGACACAAAAUCUGAAACCGAGGAAGAUGAAGAACUGAGACUUACCCAGAAUCAAGAUCGUUCUUAAAACAAAAUCGUAAGCGAGAUGGAGGGCGACGGAGCAAGCGGAGACGGAGUAAGUGGAGGAGAGAAAGGAAGCAAGUGGCGAAGAGCGACAGAGCAAGGGCGGAGAGCGAUGGAACAAGCGGCGUUGAGCUGAUGGAGCAAGUGACGGAGAGAGCGAGAUGGACAGCCAUGGAACAAGCGACGGAGAGUGAGACAAGAGAUAGAACAGGCAAUCGUUGCAGUUCAAUGGUACAAGGGUGGUUGAUAGGCUCUCAGACAGGGUUCAUGCUUUCAAAGUUUCUGUACAUUAAGGGGUGAAAGUUCAUGUGGAGGAGUCUGACAUGACUAGAUAACUUCUCAUGAGGAUGUUGCUCAGUUUCGAAGGCCUCCAAACAACAGAGAAAGCUAGAGUAUAACACGAUGAUGCAGAGGUUAGUGUUUCAUUUCCUGCAUUUUUUCAUCUGUCUGCAUCAUAAUCUAUGUCUACACGUUAAAAAUGUCAACAACAGUGGUGAACGAUAUGUAUCACCUACUUAUUACUAAUGAGUUGCAAUGACAUGAUUGGUGACUUUGGUAGAUAUACAUUGGGAUUUUAUUUAUAAAUUUUGUUCAGUUAAUUGA